UACGUAGGGUGCGAGCGGUAAUCGGAAUUACUGGGCGUAAAGGGUGCGCAGGCGGCCGCGCAAGUCGAGUGUGAAAUCCCCGAGCUUAACUUGGGAAUUGCGCUCGAAACUACGUGGCUGGAGUGUGGCAGAGGAAGGUGGAAUUCCACGUGUAGCGGUGAAAUGCGUAGAGAUGUGGAGGAACACCGAUGGCGAAGGCAGCCUUCUGGGCCAACACUGACGCUCAUGCACGAAAGCGUGGGGAGCAAACAGG
rnacentral:rRNA from 1 species